rnacentral:rRNA from 1 species
UACGUAGGGCGCAAGCGUUGUCCGGAAUUAUUGGGCGUAAAGAGCUCGUAGGCGGUCUGUUACGUCUGCUGUGAAAACCCGGGGCUUAACCCUGGGCUUGCAGUGGAUACGGGCAGGCUAGAGGCAGGUAGGGGAGAAUGGAAUUCCCGGUGUAGCGGUGAAAUGCGCAGAUAUCGGGAGGAACACCGGUGGCGAAGGCGGUUCUCUGGGCUGACACUGACGCUCAUGCACGAAAGCGUGGGGAGCAAACAGG